AGGAUGAACGCUGGCGACGUGCUUAACACAUGCAAGUCACGGGGGCCCAGCAAUGGGCAACCGGCGAACGGGUGCGUAACACGUGAGCAACCUACCGAAAUGAGGGGGAUAGCCGGCCCAACGGCCGGGUAAUACCGCAUACGCUCGAGACCAGGCAUUUGGACUCGAGGAAACCUCCGGGGCAUUUCGAGGGGCUCGCGGCCUAUCAGCUAGUUGGUGAGGUAACGGCUCACCAAGGCGACGACGGGUAGC
rnacentral:rRNA from 1 species